CGGGGGAGUACUGCCAGACUUGGAACCGGGAGAGGUAAGAGGUACUACAGGGGUAGGAGUGAAAUCUUGUAAUCCCUGUGGGACCACCUGUGGCGAAGGCGUCUUACCAGAACGGGUUCGACGGUGAGGACGAAAGCUGGGGGCACGAACCGGAUUAGAUACCCGGGUAGUCCCAGCCGUAAACGAUGCUCGCUAGGUGUCAGGCAUGGCGCGACCGUGUCUGGUGCCGCAGGGAAGCCGUGAAGCGAGCCACCUGGGAAGUACGGCCGCAAGGCUGAAACUUAAAGGAAUUGGCGGGGGAGCACAACAACGGGUGGAGCCCUGCGGUUUAAUUGGACUCAACGCCGGACAACUCACCGGGGGCGACAGCAAUAUGUAGGCCAAGCUGAAGACUUUUGCCUGAAUCGCUGAGUAGAGGUGCAUGG
rnacentral:rRNA from 1 species